rnacentral:rRNA from 1 species
AUUGAACGCUGGCGGCAUGCUUUACACAUGCAAGUCGAACGGUAGACCCUUUCGGGGGUUGAGAGUGGCGAACGGGUGAGUAAUGCAUCGGAACGUGCCUAGUCGUGGGGGAUAACGUAGCGAAAGUUACGCUAAUACCGCAUACGCACUAAGGUGGAAAGCGGGGGACCGUAAGGCCUCGCGCGAUUGGAGCGGCCGAUGUCGGAUUAGCUAGUUGGUGAGGUAAAGGCUCACCAAGGCGACGAUCCGUAGCGGGUCUGAGAGGAUGAUCCGCCACACUGGGACUGAGACACGGCCCAGACUCCUACGGGAGGCAGCAGUGGGGAAUUUUGGACAAUGGGCGCAAGCCUGAUCCAGCCAUGCCGCGUGCGGGAAGAAGGCCUCGGUUGUAACG